rnacentral:ncRNA from 1 species
GGGCGGCGCCACUCCACAUAUUGGCCCCGUUCACAUUCAAGAAGGAGGAAGCAAGCCCGCAGGCUCGCGGUGCGGCAGUGUGGAGACCUGCCGUAAUGCGGUUCACGAGAGGCGCAUCGGCGUUUGAUACGUGACGCGAGACGGACCCGGAGGAAUCCGGGCUGCCAGAGCAAUCGUUAU